GCGCGCGCGCAGGGCUGUAUCACCAAUUUUACAGCUUCCAUUUGAGCUGUGACACCAUGAUCAUACACCAACGGCCCAAAGGCAAAACUGGCCAAAAUGUUCUUAGAAUUCUGCUGGAAUUGUACUUUUCCUCCUGCUUUAUUUAGCAAAUCAAACGGUGACAUGGUGGAAGAAAUAAGAUGUCUUUAGGAACCAACAAGAUGCCUUCCGCUUGCCAUGCCAGUAAGUUUCUCCAAGUAUUGC